rnacentral:rRNA from 1 species
CCUACGGGUGGCAGCAGUGGGAAAUAUUGGACAAUGGGGGGAACCCUGAUCCAGCCAUGCCGCGUGUGUGAAGAAGGCCCUCGGGUUGUAAAGCACUUUCAGUGAGGAAGAACGCCUGGUGGUUAAUACCCAUCAGGAAAGACAUCACUCACAGAAGAAGCACCGGCUAACUCCGUGCCAGCAGCCGCGGUAAUACGGAGGGUGCGAGCGUUAAUCGGAAUUACUGGGCGUAAAGCGCGCGUAGGUGGCUUGAUAAGCCGGUUGUGAAAGCCCCGGGCUCAACCUGGGAACGGCAUCCGGAACUGUCAAGCUAGAGUGCAGGAGAGGAAGGUAUAAUUCCCGGUGUAGCGGUGAAAUGCGUAGAGAUCGGGAGGAAUACCAGUGGCGAAGGCGGCCUUCUGGACUGACACUGACACUGAGGUGCGAAAGCGUGGGUAGCAAACAGGAUUAGAUACCCGAGUAGUC